CACGUGGGUAACCUGCCCAAGAGAUCGGGAUAACACCUGGAAACAGAUGCUAAUACCGGAUAACAACAGAUGAUGCCUAUCAACUGUUUAAAAGAUGGUUCUGCUAUCACUCUUGGAUGGACCUGCGGUGCAUUAGCUAGUUGGUAGGGUAACGGCCUACCAAGGCGAUUAUGCAUAGCCGAGUUGAGAGACUUAUCGGCCACAUUGGGACUGAGACACGGCCCAAACUCCUACGGGAGGCAGCAGGA
rnacentral:rRNA from 1 species